AAGCGGGAAGGCAGGAGGGAGUCCUGGCGCUCUCUGCUCGGGCUCUGGGGGCGGCGGCUCCGGAAGAUGCGAUCCGGGGCGGGGAGUAAAAGCAGAAGCAGCCCCGCUUUCUCCUCGUGCCCCUUCGGCCCCUUUCGCUUUUCUUUUCACCCUUUCUGGAUCCGCGGGUUGCUCAAAACCAACACCAGGUGUGAUCAUUCUGCUACACUUUGCAGAUCCCCAAAAAUGAAUUUGGAAGACAUAGCUUCUUACAGUUAUUGCAAUGGAAAAUCAACGUGGUGGUGAGACAACGAUACAGCAAACGGCUACAGCAGCCUGUCGGUCAUCCUUUGUUAGCCUGCUGAAAGUACACAGAGAACUAUUAGUUAGCAAAGUUCGUAAUACCCAGUGUUUGAUAGACAACUUACUCAAGAACGAGUAUUUCUCAACCGAAGAUGCAGAGAUUGCUGCACAGUAUCCAACCCAAGCUGAUAAGGUUCGUAAAAUUUUGGAUCUAGCUCAGAGCAAAGGAGAAGAAGUUGCAGAAUAUUGCAUCUAUGUCCUGCAGCAAGUCGCUGAUGCUUACUAUGAGCUGCAUCCAUGGCUGGAAGAGAUUGGAUUUCAUCCUUCAGAGGUCAUUAGUAGUAAACCUGUGGAAAAUACUGAUCCAGUCAGCAGGUAUCAUCAGAAACUUAAAGAUGAAUUGGGCCGAGACACAAAGUUCAUCGUGUCAUAUACCCAAAAGGAGGACAUGUUGCUUGAAGAAACUUAUUCAGCCAACAUUAUGGAGUUUAUCAAGCACAACAACGAGAAAUUUGGUGAUGUGAAUGCCCUGGAAGACCUUCUUAGUGACAACGUCGGCCUAGUUAAUGAAAAUGGAGAGACCGUCUACAUCUUUGGGGAUGCGGGGAUUGGAAAAUCUAUGUUGUUGCAAAAGAUGCAAAACCUUUGGUCCAAGGGUGAAUUCAGUGUUGGGGCCAAAUUCUUUUUCCGUUUCCGGUGCAGGACGUUCAGCUGUUUCAAGCACGAUGCAGCUAUCUGUUUGAAAGAUCUCCUAUUUAAAUACAAUUGUUUUCCUGACCAGGACCCAGAGGAGGUCUUUGACUUUAUUGUGAAAUUCCCUCACACAGUUCUGUUUACUUUUGAUGGCUUUGAUGAGAUCCAUUCUGACUUUGAUCUCAACAGCAUUCCUGAGACCUGUUCUCCCAGUGAAUAUAUUCACCCGCUUGCUUUGUUAGUGGGCCUUCUCACUGGGAAGCUUCUGAAGGGUUCCAGGAAAGUCCUGACAGCAAGAACAGGGACUGAAAUUGACAAAAACAUUAUCAGGAAGAAGGUGCAUCUCCUGGGGUUUUCCACCAGCAACCUGAAAGAGUAUACCAGAAUGUUCUUCAAAGAUGAAGGGUGCCGGACUAUGGUUCUCAACGAGCUGGAAGCAAACCCAAAUCUCUGCAGUUUAUGCUCAGUGCCUUUAUUUUGCUGGAUUAUCUUCAAAUGCUUUGACCAUUUUCACUUCACAUUUGACAGCCAUGAGCUCCCAGACAUCAAAGUUACUUUAACAGACAUUUUCUUGCUCAUGACUGAGGUCCACUUGAACCGGACUCAGAAAACAAAUUUGCUGAAGAAGAACACAAGGAGCCAAGUGGAGACAUACAGGAACAGCAAAAACAUUUUGUUUGCUCUGAGUAAAUUAGCACACAGGGGAAUGAAGAAGUCUAUUUUUGUCUUUGACCAGGAUGAAGUUCUCAACGAUCUGUCUGAACAGGAUUUACACUUGGGUUUCCUCAGGACGGUUCCAGAUUACGGAAGCUGCACUGACCAACCUUCCUAUGAAUUCUUGCACUUGACCUUGCAGUCCUUUUUUACAGCUUUGUUCCUGGUCAUGGAGGAGAAAGUGGGUGCAAAGGAGUUGCUGCAUUUCUUUGCUGAGUGCUCUACUCUCGAUACCUCUCUGUCCAACUGCUUACCAAUCGCCUGGUUGAAAAAUCACCGUGCGACAGGGGAGGAUCCUUUCCGGAAUAAGGAGCACUUCCAUUUCACCAACCUCUUCCUUUGUGGCUUGCUUUCCAAGGGACAGCACAAACUGAUGAGACACUUGGUUCCAUCGUUGACCAUUAAAAAGAAAAGGAAGGUGCUCCUUGCUUAUUUCUCUGGAAGCAUGAAGUCCCACCUCAAGGGCCUCAUCCGAGCGAGGCUGAAGGAAUAUAAGCAGCUUCAAGUCAGGCCCAAUUUUGUGUGGAUGUUGAGGUGUAUCUACGAGACACAGAGUGAGAAAGUCAGCAAAGGGGUUGCCAAGAAUAUGCGGGCCAACUACCUCAAGCUGACCUAUUGCAAUGUCUAUUCUGCUGACUGCAGUGCUCUCUCUUUUAUUCUGCAUCAUUUCCAGAAGCACCUGGCCCUUGACUUGGACAAUAACAACAUCAACGAUUAUGGAAUAAAGCAACUUUUUCCUUGUUUUAGCAAGUUGACAGUACUGCGGGUGAGUGUUAACCAAAUAACGGAUCAAGCAAUAAGAGUACUCUACGAAGAAUUGUCCAAAUACAAAAUUGUGACUUAUUUGGGCUUGUAUAACAACCAAAUUACUGAUGUUGGAGCCAAAUAUGUUGCAAAACUCAUUGUGGAAUGUCCAAGCCUCAUUUAUAUUAAAAUAGGAGCAAACAAGAUAACAACUGAGGGAGGGAAAAGCCUUGCUUAUGCUAUUCAACAGAGCAAAACAAUGUAUGAAAUUGGAAUGUGGGGUAAUCAAGUAGGGGAUGAAGGAGCCAAAGCUUUUGCGGAAGCCCUGAGGAAUCACCCCACCUUAACAAACAUCAGUCUUGCGUUUAAUGGUAUCACCACAGAAGGAGGCAAGUGCCUUGCAGAAGCCAUGAAGCACAACAACACUGUGAACAUAUUUUGGCUCACAAAGAAUGACUUUGAUGACGAAGCGGCAGAGUGUUUUGCCGAAAUGCUAAAGGUCAACAAGAGAUUGGGCCAUCUGUGGCUUAUCCAGAAUCAGAUUACUGCGAGAGGAGCCAAGUGUCUAGCUGACGCUCUCCAUGACAAUACAGCUAUUAAAGAAGUCUGCUUAAAUGGAAACCCAAUAAGCCAAGAGGAGGCCAAAGCCUUUGAAAACGAAAAGAGACUCAUUUGCUUUUGAGAAACUUCUUUCCGGGUUGGACGGCUGUCAGGAUGCCAAGGCUUAUUUCAGCAGCGGCUGGAGCCAGAACGACUCCCAAAAUCUGAACGGGAUGUGCACUUGACUACAGAAGCAUGCCUUUCACUUGCGGUGGAAGCGUGCCUGUAAAUUGUGUCUUUGAACAUUGCAGGCUCUCCUGGCUGCUGUUGUGCCAUUUUGGAUCACAAGUGCAAACAAAGACAUUAUUUUAACCAUUAACUAUGUAUAUACUCAGAUGUAAAGAAUGUGCAUGAGAAGGAGGGGGAACUUUCCAAUUGUUGGGAUCUUCUUUUUUAAACUGGAACUGUUAGAAUUAAGAAAAAAUUGUUGUCGAAGGCUUUCAUGGCCAGAAUCACAGGGUUGUUGUGUGUUUUCCGGACUGUAUGGCCAUGUAUAUACCUCACAACCUCUGAGGAUGCCUGCCAUAGAUGUGGGCGAAACGUCAGAAGAGAAUGCUUCUGGAACAUAACCGUGCAUAACAUAACCGGAAAACACACAACAACCCUUAAGAAAAAUUCUGGGCCAAGGCAUUCACCCUGAGUAUCAUAAUUGAAUGAGUGUCAGUCUUUCAACAAUAUAUUUUUGGUUCUCUUCUUUACUCCCAUCUCCUUUCUUCUUUUCGACACUCUACUUUGAGUGUAGCUUUGUCGUUGGCACUGCUAAAAAUUUAGGAGCCCAUCUUUCUUUCUGAUCUACUUAAAAUCACCAAUAGAUCUCCCAGUAGAUCCCAAACUACCUCCACCCCAACCGAAAAUCAUCCCUAUCUGGCAUAGUAUUUUUUUCUUUUCCCAACAGCAAAUUUACAAGGUUAUGUAUAGGAGUUUUCCUCUCCAGAACUGCCUGGCAUAGAUGUUUUCCUCUCCAGAACCUAUGAGGAUGCCUGCAAUAGAUGUGGGUGAAACGUCAGGAGAGAAUACUUCUGGAACAUGGCCAUACAGCCCGAAAGACAUACAACAACCCUGUGAUCCCGGCCAUGAAAGCCUUCGACAACACACUGCCUGGCAUUGUUUGGGAUUGAACCUGGGGCUUUCUACACACACAUCAAGCUUUCUAUGGUUGAGCUGUAACCCUGAACAACCGGCAAACCAUAUUUUUGUGUCUUAUUUUAUGUACACAGAUGUAAAUAAGUUGCUCUUUAACUUAUCUGUGGACAAGCCAGGUCACAGUGGUUGGUUGAACAUUCACAAGGCAACAGCUGGGCUGCCUACUGUUUUAUUAAGAGAUCUGGCUUUACCAAGGUGUGCACCAUCUGUUUCCAAUCCCGCUUUCUUUUUCUUGCCAUCAGCAGUGAUACCUUGGUUUGAUUUGCAAAGAUGGAUUACGUCAACACUUGAUUUGUCUGUGAGCUCCUGUUGACAUUUACACAAGAUGAGGGCAAAGUCUGAACCGAAGAGCAUUUGGUAGAAAAACAGUGUGGUUGCUAUUUGAUCGUUGUAUUUUGAGUGGCUGGACGGAUGCAGGAAAAGUCUGCAAUUCUAGGUACACAUAUGAAAACUUUGUGUGAAAGUAAAGAUAAAGAGUCAAAUACAUAAGAAAGGAGGUUUCUUUCUAUAGAUCCUUUUGCAAAUGUUACUUUAGAUCAAGAGAUAGUUUUCUAAGAUCUUGUAACACUCCUAGGCAGCGCGAACACUGGGAACCAAUACGGAGGCCAAUAAACAAUCUAAUAUCUUUAUUAAAGCAAUUAACGUUUCAAACAAAAAUAAGCAGAAUAGCUAGUCAAGCAGUUGACCUUUUAGGAAAGAUCAAAAUUAGUCCAAAAAAUGAAAGUCUUAUGUCCAGUAUUAAAGUCCAAAGUCCAAUAACCGAAACACACUCAAACUUAAUGGAAGUUUGAGUGGGGAAAGGAGCAAAGUUCCUCAGGAAAGUACUUGAAGUAAAAGUCCAGAACAAGGUUUCAAGGCAAGGCUAUGGCUGUUCGUGAUGGAUCUGAAACGCAGUCCAAACUUGGCAAGAGAUGAGACACAACGCCCGGUUUACUCAAGAGUAAGCGCGCCAGCAGGCUGCUUGGAAGCUCAGGAUCAAGAGACGAUGUAUUCUUCAGUCAGAAGUUAAGUUGACACCGCGACAGAGAUUCUCGGCGCAGAACUUUUAUUGAAGUCCAAGAGCUCUCCCAAAGCAGGUGCUGGACUCCCCAAAUCUUCCCAAGAGAAACGAGCUGCUAACAAUGAGGUGCCAGAUGCCUGCCUCCCCAAUUCUUCCCAAGAGAACUGGCUUGGCCACAAUCGCCUCAAUCUGCUAAUCUCACACUUCUCCUUAAACUUUGUCUUUGAGAGCGGUCUGUUUUGAAAGUAGCCCUUCUAUCAAACACUAAACUCUCCGGAGAUCCGGAAAGAACCGGCACCAUCUCAAGGGCAUUCCUAAUUGGCUCUGGCACGGCUAUGUCAACAGGAGACAUCUGGAAAGAGAUUGAAUCUUGCUGAGGUGGGAAAAAAACCCAAAUCCUCUUCAGUUUGAUCAGCAAUGGCUGCGGGAUCAGGGGCCAAAGGUGCCUGAGACAUCACAGAUCUACAGAAAUACUCGCAGGAACACCUCAGCAAGCGAGAGUCCAAAAGUGGCAGGCUAAAACCUCAAUCAGUGACUGACGCCAGAUGAGAGACUCCCUCCUGGGCACACAGAGGACUGGGCGACUUGGAAGGUACUGAACAGACUGCGUUCUCGCACCACAAGAUGCAGAGCCAAUCUUAAGAAAUGGGACUACAAAGUGGAGUCCACGACAUGCGAGCGUGAAGAAGAGCAAACCACAGACCGCUUACUAUAGUGCAGUCUGAGCCCUGCCACAUGUACAAUGGAGAACCUUCUUGUAGCAACACCAGAAGCACUCUUAAGUGGCCAGCUACUGGUCAAAGGACAUUCAGUAUAAUUCCAAGUUUUAAAAUUUUGUUUGUGUUUGUGAAUACAUUACAACUUGUGCCUUCAGUCUGCAUCUGACACAAUAAAUUAAUAAAUAACAUAACUGAA